GAGUUUGAUCUUGGCUCAGAUUGAACGCUGGCGGCAGGCCUAACACAUGCAAGUCGAGCGGUAGAGAGAAGCUUGCUUCUCUUGAGAGCGGCGGACGGGUGAGUAAUGCCUAGGAAUCUGCCUGGUAGUGGGGGAUAACGCUCGGAAACGGACGCUAAUACCGCAUACGUCCUACGGGAGAAAGCAGGGGACCUUCGGGCCUUGCGCUAUCAGAUGAGCCUAGGUCGGAUUAGCUAGUUGGUGAGGUAAUGGCUCACCAAGGCGACGAUCCGUAACUGGUCUGAGAGGAUGAUCAGUCACACUGGAACUGAGACACGGUCCAGACUCCUACGGGAGGCAGCAGUGGGGAAUAUUGGACAAUGGGCGAAAGCCUGAUCCAGCCAUGCCGCGUGUGUGAAGAAGGUCUUCGGAUUGUAAAGCACUUUAAGUUGGGAGGAAGGGCAGUAAAUUAAUACUUUGCUGUUUUGACGUUUACCGACAGAAUAAGCACCGGCUAACUCUGUGACAGCACG
rnacentral:rRNA from 1 species